AUGGGCGGGAUUCAUAAGAAAGAGGGGAAAGAUGAAGCGGGAAGCAAGGUGAAAACCCGCUGAAUUUCGGUCACUUCGGCGCGAAUUUUGCAGAGCUCCUAGUCCUUCUCCUCAAGCUCGCGUCUCGAUUCCUCUACCAGAGAAGUUACUUACUGACCGCCAUAGCCUCUGCUCUCAAGUCAUUUACUUUUGAAAUUUGCGGAAAGAAAGACCUACUAGUGGAUUGAGAAAUGAAGUUUAAGGCAUAUCUGACUGAUAAUGGGGUAAAUCUCCUGGAGAAGAGAUUUCUACCUGCCCUAGACAAGAUGGGCAAAAUAUGCCAUCUCUAUUUGACAAGAGAAUAUGUCAUCUUCCUGCAUAAUCUCCUAAAUGGUGAUGGAAUUCAAUCAAUUGCUCAGUUUCGUAAAGAAGCUCUGUUUGAUGACUACCGAAUCUCCAGCCAGAACGAUGAUCGUAUUGCGUUUGCCAUAGACAUUUCGCUUCUCCACCGUGCAGUUCGUAGUAGUGUUAGCAUUUGUUCUGAGUUUGGUAAUGGUCCAACAGCGAAUCGACUCCAAAUUAAGUUGGUGAAGAAGUUGCCUCUGAAUUGCACCCAAUCAAUGCCUUUCCUUACAUUUGAGACUAAAGGUUACAAAUCUGCUGUCAUUCAGGAUGUACCAAUCUCAAAGCCUAUGUCAAGAGGUCAAGUUCUUGAACUUCAAACUGCUCUAGAUAUGGCACAGGAUUUGCCUCAGACGCUUGUGCAGGUUCCUGAUCUUAACCAGUUGCAGAACUUUGUGGAUCGAAUGAAGAAUGUUGGGGAUUUGCUGAAUGUCUCCAUAAGCAAGUAUGGAGAUUUACAUGUGCAGAUUUUCACAACGUUGAUCACUCUUGGUGCUGAGUAUCGAAAGUUAUUUGUUAUAGGGGAACAAGCAAAUGCUCCAGCUGAAGAUCAAAAUCUAAGUGCUCAGACUAGAUCAACCAGAGCAAUAUCGAGGGGGGAUGCUCAAUCUGUACAGGUGAGUGUGAAGCACUUUGCCAAGAGUCUUCAGUAUCACUUGGCCAAGCCAGAUUGCACUUUCUAUGGCAUUGCUCCUCAGGGCGCCUGCUUGACUGUGAUAUUUCAGUUCUUCAUUCCCGGCUCUCGGCAGACUGAUAAAUCAAUCAGUCUACAUUGCCGGCUUCCUGUUCUUGACCCUGGAACCAGUUGAAUUCUGAUUAACUUCUCUCAUUUGACGUUAUGAAUCUAUGUUAAUGCCAAAUUAAACAGCUAGAAAUAGACUAGAGAGGGAGGGCGGAGGUUGUUGAUUCAAGAACUCAACGCCAUCACCAGUAAUCUUUACACGAACAUAAACCAUGUUUGAAAUGGUGAAAUCUGGUUCUGUCCCUAACAAUUAC